UACGGGGGGAGCAAGCGUUGUUCGGAUUUACUGGGCGUAAAGGGCGCGUAGGCGGCCACCGCAAGUCGGUUGUGAAAUCUCUGGGCUUAACCCAGAAAGGUCAACCGAUACUGCGGGGCUAGAGUGCAGAAGGGGCAACUGGAAUUCUCGGUGUAGCGGUGAAAUGCGUAGAUAUCGAGAGGAACACCUGCGGCGAAGGCGGCUACCUGGACAAUUGCUGACGCUCAGGCACGAAAGCGUGGGGAGCAAAAGGG
rnacentral:rRNA from 1 species